AAACUAUUUCGUUUUCAUGUCAGUGUAAACCUAACACCAACAGUCCUGUUUUGGCAACUGGAAAAAAAAAACAUAUGUUGCAGACGCCCUCUGUGAGGCCGAUCCAGUCCGGGUCGAGUCCGGAAGGUUCGGUUCUCUCCGCUCCUCGCGGGUCCCGGACCGCUGGCUUGGUGGGGCUGGUUUCCAGAGCGGCGAAGUGUUUUAUUAUGAGAAGGUUUGAUCAUCUUCUGGCUGGAUCAUCACGGAUAGGAAUGUGUUAUCUGCUAACUUCUGGUGUUAUAUACAACUCCCCUGCUUUUCGCCGAAUGAAGAACAUAUUUUUUUUUAACUUCCCAGCGGAUGUGCUGGGAACAACAGCUGUGCUUAAACCCUACUGUUGCAACUCCUAGCUUUCUCUUGUCGUCCAGGUAUGCGAGAGGUUUCGGGUGCUAAUUAUUCAAAUCCAUAUAUGACCGCCUACAAUGUGAUGCGUAUGAAACGGCUGAUAGCAGGGGCAAUUUUUUUUAUUAACCGUUUCAUGUUCAGGCUUCGACGGAAACAUGACACGUUUACAACAGCAACAAAGACUGCAGAUACGAAAUAUAAACGUGAAACAAGAGUUCAUGGUUUGUAAAAAAAGAAAAUAACGAGUGACUAGUGAAAACGAGAGGGAUCUGGUCAAAAUAAAGAGUCUCCCUUUCAGCGGCUGGGCUUCACGUUGUCUUCAGCUUCAGAAAGCCCGGACGGGUCGCGAUGUUCCGCAUACACCGAGCACACGGUCUGUCCAGCGAGGUGAAGGCCAGCGCCGGAUGUUUGCCGGUCGGGCUGGUCUCGGAGACGGAAGAUCAAAGGACCGGGAACCACCGGGCCGGACCGGGCCGGACCGGGCGUCUCUCGACCUGCCAGCGCCGCAGACCCGGCUCUCAGCGGGCUGAGCUCCCGCUCCACGCGAGUCCGUGACAGGGGCCGCGGGUGGGCAUUCGUGUUUUCUUAACAGCCCCCGAAUCCCUGCCCAAGCCUCGCAUGCGAUCUUCACUUUGGCAGAACCGCUGGGCGAUACUGGGUCUAGUUCCCCCAGCCGGACUCUGUUCGCGCUUGCCAGUAACUGCUGGACCCACCCAGUUAGUCUUUCCGAGUGUCUUAUUGAUUCAUUUAUUGAAUGUAUCAAUUCUUUGUCUUUUUGUUUUUCGCAUGCGUUCAAAAAUAUUAAGAAGUCG
rnacentral:lncRNA from 1 species